UCAUCACCAUUACUCAACAACAUCAAUUACAACAACAACAACAUCAAUUACGCCCACAACAUCAUCACCAUAACCAUAACCCCACCUUUCUUCUUCAACACAAUGCCAUCAUUAAAGCUGCUCCAUUGAAGUUGUUUUAAAAAAAAUAAAAAAGCAUAUCAUUAAAGCUUCAUUUUGCAAUUAAAUCAUAUCAUUUAACUACCCAUCAUUUCUUCUUCAACACCAUUUAAAACUCUUCCAAAAUGUCAACAUUAAAGCUCUUUCAUUGAAGCUUUUUUUUUUUUUAAAGCUCCUCCUUUAAAACUUCAUUAAAGCUCAUUUAACCAUCUUUAAAACUUAAUACAAUCAUUUUACUAUCCUUAAAACUCAAUUCAAUCAUAAAACUAAUUUUUGAAUUGAUUUGAACAAAAAAAAAAAAUCAGACGGGGAGAAUUUUGGACGCGAGGCGACGAGGGAGAGGGGAAGGUGCUGGACGCGAGGGGUGAGGAGGGGAGGUGCUGGAUGAGGGGGAGGGGGAGGUGCUAGAUUGGGGGUGGGAGAAAAGAGGGGGUGAGGUGUUAAAUCAAAUAAAAAAGGAAAAUUGUAUUAAAAAAAAUAAAAAUGUAUGAAAUUAAACGUAUUUGACAGUGGCAACAUCUGAUUGACGCGUGUAUUUCACUCUCCUUGUUGUGACUGAGAUUCAACGAAAAAUGGUGUGUUUGCAACGAAAUAAAAAAGAAUCAUGGGAUAAUAGAUCCAAACAGGCUACAAGAGUGAAACUGAAACUCAUCUUUCAAUAAAAUAAGAGAAUAAAACAUCAAUGCUGCAAACCUCGGAUUGUAUCCGGGUGCAUGGCCGAAACACAAGUCUCCUAAUUUCUCUUGUCCCUACUAAAUAUUGUUGCGGCGAUCAACUUCCGCCUACCCAUAUCCUAAGCAUUUAAACUUCAGGUUGGGUAGCUAUGCUCAUUCAAAAAUGAUGCAACCAAACAGAAUAAACAUUUGACUAAUUUGGCUUGAUUUCUAGUCAUGCUAUCUACGCUGAAAAAAAGCAAUUUCAAAAAAUAUAACGCUUUCGUUUGUGUCAAGACUGGGAAAUGUGUAAGCUGCAAUAUUUUUAUAAAGGUAUAAAGCUAGUUUCCAAAAUCUAAAGGAAAGCAAUAGACAGUUGGAACUUAAAGUACCAUCUGGCGCCACUAAUCAUGUUUGAAAUUUUUUCUUGUCAAAGGGAAGUAGCGACAGAAUCAUAGUCAUAUUGAACAUCGUUCCUUGUCUUAUUUGGAUAAACAAUAAUACUGGAUAACUUCAUGUUUUCUACUUCCGUGAAAUGAGAGAGGGACGAAUACUGCACUAAUUAGCCAUCGU
rnacentral:lncRNA from 1 species